GGUCAAAGGUCUUUCAGUGUGCCACACCCCUAAUCCGUAUCCAUAGCUUCGAGACCAACCAUAACGUAACCAAAACGAUAGGACUACAUGUAGGAUACUCAUAGCCUCAGAGGGAUAGCCUGAUAUAGGAGUUUGAGCUUCAUUUUUGGUCUGCAGCUAGCUAAAGACUUCCGCUAUAGUGCUCAGUUCUUACAUUUUCGCAAGAGUCCCUACUGAUGAGAAAUAUCAGCACUGUCGGAACAUACGUUGUUUUUGUCCAACUAUUGCAACCACUGCACUGGACAGCGUUUUCUUUCAGCUGUAAAACAACCAAUUUUCACAGUAUAGCUUUCACAGUAUAGCUACACAAUUUGGAGAAUAGAUAGCGUAAGACAUAGCUUUAAAAUGGUCUUUGAAUCGUGUCUGUAUCUUUUGUACUUUUGAAGAUAUCGGUGUCCGACAUAAUUAUGAUGACGUCCGAUGAUUGGUACUUUACUCUAGUUAGCAUAUUAAAUAUAAAGCAGUAUUAAAUUGCACUGAUCUCAUCUCUUUCUUUCUUCAGUGGACAGAACAAGGGGUUAUCUGUGAGUCUAUACCGUCACUGUUUGUGCCGGGUGGUCAGCUGGGGCCCAGAACAACUGUCAACACAGCACAUCCGCAACAGAACAGUGGAUUGAUAUCCCCUAGCAAGUCGUCUCUGUACUUAUCGAAUACCAGCAGAGCACUUGCCCUGAUGAAGGUAGCACAAGAUGCAGGAGAACAAAUGACAUACUGAUAUAUGAGACCUCUACAGUCUCUGGAGCUAUCACAAAAACCAUGCACAGAAUACUUCGGAUUCACUACCAAUUAGUCUGGGUUCUACCUCGCUGUUAGAGAUCCUGGCACUUGCAUUAUCAUAUCUCGACUGAUUCUGAUGUGGCCAUGUCAGACAACAAGACAGUAUACUGCACUGAGGAUGAUACUGAGCUACCAGAGUUCCAUGGCAGUCAUGGAAGUCUAGCAAUAUGGAAAAUCUGACUGCUGUCUAUCAUGUGGUCAUGGUCAUGCAUGGUGAGCGUGCUGCAUGAUCACAUAAUGGAUUGGUUCGGGAAGCGCCCCUCUGUCUGACUGUCUGUGGAUGUGUCUACUGGAUCGAUAUGGAUUAAUUAUGGCUAUAUAGCUAGAUAAUGCAAUAUAGAAUGUUUAAUUUUGUUCAUGUACGUAAUUAUACGUUAUCAAACGUUAUCAAAAGAGUAUAUAUAUACAAUUAAACA